UACGUAGGGUGCAAGCGUUGUCCGGAAUUAUUGGGCGUAAAGAGCUCGUAGGCGGUCUGUCACGUCGGCUGUGAAAACCUGGGGCUCAACUCCGGGCCUGCAGCCGAUACGGGCAGACUAGAGUUCGGCAGGGGAGACUGGAAUUCCUGGUGUAGCGGUGAAAUGCGUAGAUAUCGGGAGGAACACCUGUGGCGAAAGCGGCGCACUGGACCAUAACUGACGCUGAUGCGCGAAAGCUAGGGGAGCAAACAGG
rnacentral:rRNA from 1 species